AAUCUAUCAAGCAGCUCCCUCUCUAUCUUCCCUCAUGCAGUUUUUAUUUUACUGUCAAGUGUCAACUUCAGUCUCACAUCCUCUCUCUUGGCUUAAGUUGGGAAAGGCUAGAAGUGCCGAUGUAUAGGUGUUAUUUCCACAGCGCACCGAAUCAACUCUGCCGAGCUUUAUUAUUACUACUACUACUACUUCAGUAACCUUUUCUACCCUCCGUAACAGCGUCUUUGCUGAUAAAUAAACAUGGC